AACGAACGCUGGCGGCAUGCCUAACACAUGCAAGUCGAACGGGAUCCGAGCUUCGGUUCGGUGAGAGUGGCGGACGGGUGAGUAACGCGUGGGAACCUGCCCAGUGGUGGGGAUAACUGCGGGAAACUGCAGCUAAUACCGCAUGAGCCCGAGAGGGGAAAGAUUUAUCGCCAUUGGAGGGGCCCGCGUUCGAUUAGGUAGUUGGUGAGGUAACGGCUCACCAAGCCUUCGAUCGAUAGCUGGUCUGAGAGGAUGAUCAGCCACACUGGGACUGAGAUACGGCCCAGACUCCUACGGGAGGCAGCAGUGGGAAUAUUGGACAAUGGGGGGCAACCCUGAUCCAGCAAUGCCGCGUGAGUGAUGAA
rnacentral:rRNA from 1 species